AGAAAGCUCCAGGAACCCGACUCUGGCGGCAGCAGCCAGAGCGCUGGGAUCCCGGACCCAGCGUCCAGAACUUCAUUCAAGCGCCCAGACCGCCCUCCAGAAAGGGGAAGCCCAGAUGGCCCGGCGAGGAUGGGAACUGGCUGCGGUUUGUCACUAGGAAUUGUUACGAAUGUCGCAGACUGGUGAAGCCCUAGGUGUGACAAGACUGGGCUCCCGGAGUGGGAGUCGUAACCUCCCGUGCAACUCAACCCUCUACCCCCAAAAGCCCGCACGCUGCGCCCAGCCCUCAAAACACCGUUUCUGAACGCAAAAGAUAACAGGGAAGGGUGGGAGGAGAAGGAGGAAAGAGAGGAGGGUAGAGAGGGGAGGAACUUUUCGGGAAAAGGUUGGGUUUGAGUUUUUUUUUAUUGUUAUUAUUUUCCACUUACUUGUCCAUCAGCUGAAGUCCUAACCUCUACCAGAGCGGCUGCUAUCAACCAAAGUGACAGGAGAACCAUCACGAGUCGAGUUCACUUUCCAACUACUGGGCAAAGCAAAUGCCCAGAGCAAACCCACCCCCCCCGCCCAAAAUAAGUUUCUUUAAGAAAAAAAGGAAAAGGGAAAAAAUGCGAAAUAGAAAAAAAUGAUCUUCUGUGCUUUGCUUCAAUGAAAAUGAAAUUUGAGCUCUGAGACUGGCCCCCUCUGCUCUGCAGUUUUUUCCACUUCACCUUCUCACCCCGUCCUCCCAACACAGAGUGUGCAGGAGCGAGAAGGUGCUGUAAGCGGGCACAGGCUAAGCCUGGGAGAGGGGGAAGGGACGAGGGGCUUUCCAACUAUCUCUGCCCAAAGCAGCUUUUUCGAGGCUUUUCGAGCACCAUUGGUCCCUAAGGUUAGCGCGGAGAAUGCUUGGGUUCCCCGGAGCACAGCAGGGGGAAGUAUUAGCGAGAGAGACGAGCGAGCGGGAGCGGGAGAAAGAGGCAGGGAGAGGGCGACUCCGCCGCACACGCAGAGGUGGGGGCGGGAGGAGCGAAGGGGAGGAGGAGAAGGCAGGCGGAGGAGGUGGGAGGAGUGGGCCGCUCGCCGGCUCCUGUUGCUCGCAGCGCGGCAGUCUGCUGGCUGCUGGCGACCCGCGGGGCGCUAAUAAGGCGUCCGGAGCUCCCCGGACUGCCCCUCCCGCCGUGGCGCCCACGUCAUGCGGGGCCCGAACCCGCGCCCCCCGCACCGUGUCAGGAUUGGAGACCGCUCGGGGGCUGGUGUGGCCCGGGCUCGACCUCCCACCCUGGAGCCUCUCCUUCUCCGCCUAGGGCGAGAGGAGGGGAGGGUCCAGGGGCGCCACCGGUCCCGACUGGCGGGACGCGCGUUGAGUUAAUUAUAGGAAGGGGGAGGGUCCGAGGGCUGGUCCUGGGCUGUAGGAAAUUCACCUCCUCCAACCUCCACUGUUCUCCCAGCCAGAGAAUUCUCCCCGAAGAGAAGCCCUGGAACCUCCAGAUCUUAACCACGCGGUGAUCUCCCUUCCAGGCACCAGUCACCUCCCACGUUUUGGCAGGGGGUGUCCUUCUUUAGUACACAGGCCUCAGCGACUCUUCCUCACACCCAGAUUAAGUUAUCAAAUGAUUUCUGCCCGCUGUGGCCUGGCGCUUCCUGAGGGGAAAUGACACCAACCUGAGAGUUUGCUGGAAUCCUAGCCCAGGCCCACCUCCCAGGCGUAGACACCUGUGGGUGCUUUCCAGAAAGCAGACAGGAGGAAAAGGAAAUAGCUCCAACCUCCACUGACCGGUCCACGAGCCAGGAGUGAGUAGACACAAAUUUAGAUACGAACUUCAAGACUUCAACUGGACAGUCUUGAAGAGGCCUGCCCACAAUAAAACGAGCUAGUGUUUAUCUUGUUAUGAGAUGCAAGAUAAGUCAUAGUUCUUGUUCUUUUUUAAAAGCAAUGUGAGUUUGGAGGGUUUCCUAUAACUUCGAUUCAUUGUUUAUUCCUGGAGAGGUAACGUGAUGGUUGUGCCUUUAACUUAAGCAUGGAAAGAUUUGGUGUUCACUGAUGUUUUAUCUGCUAAGUCUUCUCAAAAUCAUAUAUCGAGGAC
rnacentral:lncRNA from 1 species